GUCGAACGCUGGCGGCGUGCCUAAUACAUGCAAGUCGAACGCAGUGGGGACGGGUGAGUAACACGUGGGUAACCUCCCAUCAGAGGGGAUAACACUUGGAAAAAGGUGCUAAACCGAUACUGAUGGAGGUACCCGCUGUGCAUUAGCCAGUUCGUGAGGUAACGGCUUACCAAGGCCACGAUGCAUAGCAGGCCUGAGAGGGUGACCAGCCACAAUGGGACUGAGACACGGCCCAGACUCCUACGGGAGGCAGCAGUAGGGAAUAUUCGGCAAUGGACGAAAGCCUGACCGAGCAACGCCGCGUUAGUGAAGAAGGUUUUCGGAUCGUAAAUCUCUGUUGUUAGAGAAGCGGUAUCUAACCAGAAAGCCACGGCUAACUACGUGCCAGCAGCCGCGGUAAUUC
rnacentral:rRNA from 1 species